rnacentral:tRNA from 1 species
GGUUCUGUGGCGCAGUUGGUUAGCGCAUCCGCCUGUCGAGCGGAGGGUCGCGGGUUCGAGUCCCGUCAGAACCGCUA